rnacentral:rRNA from 1 species
UACGUAGGUGACAAGCGUUGACCGGAUUUACUGGGCGUAAAGAGCGCGCAGGCGGUCGAUCAAGUCGAGUGUGAAAGCCCCCGGCUCAACUGGGGAGGGUCAUUCGAUACUGAUCGACUCGAAGGCAGGAGAGGGUAGUGGAAUUCCCGGUGUAGUGGUGAAAUGCGUAGAUAUCGGGAGGAACACCAGUGGCGAAGGCGACUACCUGGCCUGUUCUUGACGCUGAGGCGCGAAAGCUAGGGGAGCAAACGGG